GACGAACGCUGGCGGCGUGCUUAACACAUGCAAGUCGAACGAAGCGCGCUGGACUCUUGCUUCUCUCAAUCUUAGUGGCGAACGAGUGAGUCACACGUAAUCAACCUGCCCUUCAGAGGGGGACAAAAGUUGGAAACUACUGCUAAUACCACAUACGAUCCAAUCUCGGCAUCGGGGCUGUAUGAAAGGUGGCCUCUAUUUAUAAGCUAUAACUGAAGGAGGGGAUUGCGUUUGAUUAGCUAGAUGGAGGGGUAACGGCCCACAGAGGCGCUGAUCAGUAGCAGGCCUGAGAGGAUGAACGGCAACACUGGGACUGGGACAUGGCCCAGAACACUACGGGAGGCAGCAGUGGGGGAUUUCUCGCAAUGGACGAAAGUCGGACGGAGGAACGCCGGGUGAGUGAUGACGGCCGUCGGGUUGUGAAGCUCUGUUAAUCGGGACGAAUGGUUAUUGUGCGAAUAGUGCGAGGAUUUGACGGUACCGGAAGAGAAAGCCACGGCUAACUACGUG
rnacentral:rRNA from 1 species